AAAAAACAUGUGAAAAUGCACCUUUUUGUUUGAUUUGUGUUGCUUAUUGUUUCAUUUAAUUUGCUAAUUGUUUUAUUGUUUAGUUUAAUUGUUUUAUUAUUAAUUAUCAUCCGCACCUGGGCGUUAUUGGAAAUUAGGCCCAGGUGCGGGGUUUAAAAGGAGAGCAGGCAGUCUGCUCGGGGCUGCUAAGGAGAAGGAGGCAGAAGGGAGUGCUCUGCUUCCUGGCAGUCCCGAGAUAAAAAGCAGUGGUGUGACAGGGUGAAGGAAGAUGGGGGGGAACUGGCCUCCCGACAGACGGUGGUGCAAGAUUGACCGACUGACAAUGGCGCAUACAGAGGACUAACCACUGCCGAGGACACGCGAAUGGACACGGAGCGAAUCCAACGCUGAACAUGCAAGGGAAAGAAGGCAAAAGACUGUGAAAAAUGUAUUGUAAAUACCUGAGAGCACUGUGUCACUCUAACCACUUGUAUACACCACUGCACUAUAAAACACUUG